UGGGGAAUAUUGGACAAUGGGCGAAAGCCUGAUCCAGCCAUGCCGCGUGUGUAAAGAAGGUCUUCGGAUUGUAAAGCACUUUAAGUUGGGAGGAAGGGCAGUAAGCGAAUACCUUGCUGUUUUGACGUUACCGACAGAAUAAGCACCGGCUAACUCUGUGCCAGCAGCCGCGGUAAUACAGAGGGUGCAAGCGUUAAUCGGAAUUACUGGGCGUAAAGCGCGCGUAGGUGGUUCGUUAAGUUGAAUGUGAAAGCCCCGGGCUCAACCUGGGAACUGCAUCCAAAACUGGCGAGCUAGAGUAGGGCAGAGGGUGGUGGAAUUUCCUGUGUAGCGGAGAAAUGCGUAGAUAUAGGAAGGAACACCAGUGGCGAAGGCGACCACCUGGGCUCAUACUGACACUGAGGUGCGAAAGCGUGGGGAGCAAACAGG
rnacentral:rRNA from 1 species